CCGCUGCUGCUUUGAGCGGGCUGGGUGUGGAGGAAGGGAGCUGUAGACUGGCACUAACUGGCUGCCGCAGGAACAGACGACACAUUGUGCCCCUCAGACUGCCUGUUACAGCACAGAACGGACCAUAAAUGCCAGAGAACGGACACAUCCGUUACAAAUGACUGGAACACACACAGCUUCCUUCAUAAUAAAAGAUCUGACGGAGUCUGAUGAUUUAUGGGCCGGAUGUAAACACUAGAAGUGAGCAAAUUGAGGAGGACGUUCACUUUAUGCCACACAAGGAAGUACGAGUUACCAUAGAAACUGGGUUUCGCUAACGUCAAGAGCUUUAGCGUAAUACAUUAUCUAGUGAAUUAGCAGUGGCUGGUGGCGUCGAAGGGAAAACCUACUUGACUAGUCCUGCUAGAGAAGCGCUACUCCUGGUGGAAAGAGGUUGUACGGCACACAACGAGUUGCAGAAUGCGUGCAGAAACGUCACGAUGUAAAGUACCGCGUCAGAGAGCGGCUCGAUGGUCAAGCUGUUGGCUCCUAUGUCCACUAUGGUCCCCAGCUGGAACCCAUCUGCUGGAUGGGGCGCCCACACCGGCUUCCCAUCCUCCAUUGGACCGCUUGAAGAGCACUGCAACACAACAGGAAAGAAACAGGGGACCGUUAGAGGCCUGUUCACAUUCCUAAAGCCAUGAAAGUUAUUCAAUUUUGAAGAAAAUAAAAAAACACUAGAAUGAGGAGUGGGAGGCCUCGGUGCAAAAAAACUAAGCAAAAGGACAAGAACACUAGUGUGUCUAGUUUAAGAAACAGACACCUCACAAGUCCUCAACAGGCAGCUUCGUUAAAAUAGUACCCACAAAACACCAGUCAAAGUCAGCAGUGAAGAGGUGACUCCAGGAUGCUGGCCUUCUAGGCAGAGUUCCUCUGUCCAGUGUCUGUUCUUUUGCCCAUCUUAAUCUUUUAUUGUAUUGGCAAGUUUGCAAAAUGGUCUUUUCAUUGCAACUCUGCCUAGAAGGCCAGCAUCCCAGAGUCACCUCUUCACUGUUGACGUUGACUGGUGUUUUGUGGGUACCAUUUAAUGAAGCUGCCACAUAAGGCACACUUAGCCAUGCUGGUUGAAUUCUAAAUAAAAUCAGUGCAUCACCAGCAAAGCCCCUCCACACCUCCAUGCUUCACAGUAGGAAACUGACUCCGCAUAUCACAAAACACAGCGGUUCGAACCAAAAAGGUGAAAUUUGGAAUCAGACCAAAAGGACAGAGUUCCACCGGUCUAAUGUCUAUUGCUUGUGUUUCUUGGCACAAGAAAGUCUCUUCUUCUUAAUGGUGUCCUUUGGUAGUGGUUUCUUUGCAUUAAUUCAACCAUGAAGGCCUGAUUCACACAGUCACCUCUGAACAGUUUAUGUUGAUGUGUCUGUUACUUGAACUCUGAAGCAUUUAUUUGGGCUGGUAACUAAUGAACUUAUCCUCUGCAGCAGAGGUAACUCUGGGUCUUCCUUUCCUGUGGCGGUCCUCAUGAGAGCCAGUUUCAUCAUAGCGCUUGGUUUUUGCGACUGCACGUUUUCCCAUAUGGACUGACCUUCAUGUCUUAAAGUAAUGAUGACUGUCAUUUCUCUUUGCUUAUUUGAGAUGGUCUUGCCAUAAUAUGGACUUGGUCUUUUACCAAAUAGGGUAUAUAUAUAUUUGGAAUUACCACUCCUACCUUUUCACAACACAACUGAUUGGCUUAAAAGGAUGAAAGAAAUUCCACAAAGUAACUUAAGGUACACCUGUUAAUUGAAAUGCAUUCCAGGUGACUACCUCAUGAAGCUGGUUGGGAGAAUGCCAAGAGUAUGUGCGCAAAGCAGUCAUCAAUACAAAGGGUGGCUACUUUGAUUUGUUUAACUCUUUUUUUUGAUUACUACAUGAUUCCAUAUGUGCCAUUUCAUAGUUUUGAUGUUUUCACUAUUGUACAAUGAAGACAACAGUAACAAUAAAGAAAGACCCUGGAAUGAG